rnacentral:lncRNA from 1 species
CCUAGAGAGAGCAUGGGUAAGGAUACCUAGAGAUUAUGUAUAGGCACGACUUCUCUUCAUUACAUUAGACAUAAUACAUGUCUUUCAUAAUGAUAUAUGAUUAUGUGUGACUCUGUGGGUUUCACAAGGCACGAGAACCGGGCAGGCUGAAGAUCUCAUACACUUUAUAUGGAAAGGAGAGAUGCAAUUCAGCAUUUUCCUGAGACUAUGAAAGGUCAGGAAAGGAAGAAGUUAAGAAGUCGUACUAAUGAGGGAAUGAAGCAGAGCUGGGAGAAGUUACACCAUGAUGGGGAAACUGUGGAUGGUUUAUGACAAAGACUUGUAGGGACUCCUACAAGCCUCAUUUCAAUGUAUUCUGAGUGAACUGGAACUGCACCCGCAAUAUUUCCAAGGUAUCCUUCUACCUCCUAUCCAACAUUAGAAUCCCCAGUCCCACACUCCCAGGGGGUCUCUCAGUUACA